rnacentral:rRNA from 1 species
AUUGAACGCUGGCGGCAUGCCUUACACAUGCAAGUCGAACGGUAACGGGCCUUCUGGUUCCGACGAUUGGCGUACGGGUGUGUCAUACAGCGGAACGUGCCCGAUCGUGGGUGCUAACGAGGCGAAAGCUUUGCUAAUACCCCAUACGAUCUACGCGUGAAAGCAGGAGAGUGCAAGGCGUUGCGCGGACGGAGCUGCUGGUGGCAGAGUAUGCAGUCGGUGGGAUACAAGCUUACCAAGCCGACGAUCUGUAGCUGGUCUGAGAGGAUGAUCAGCCACACUGGGACUGAGACACGGCCCAGACUCCUACGGGAGGCAGAAGUGGGGAAUGUGGGACAAUGGGCGCAAGCCUGAUCCAGCCAUGCCGCGUGCAGGAUGAAGGCCUUCGGGUUGUAAACUGCUUUUGUACGGAACGAAAAGCAUUCUUUUAAUACAGGAGGGUCAUGACGGUACCGGAAGAAUAAGCACCGGCUAACUACGUG